GACGGAAGGUGCAAGCGUUGUCCGGAUUUAUUGGGCGUAAAGAGCUCGUAGGCGGUUUUGAAAGUCGGGUGUGAAACCUCCAGGCUCAACCUGGAGACGCCACUCGAUACUUCAAUGACUUGAGUUCGGUAGGGGUAAGCGGAAUUCCUGGUGUAGCGGUGAAAUGCGCAGAUAUCAGGAGGAACACCGACGGCGAAGGCAGCUUACUGGGCCGAUACUGACGCUGAGGAGCGAAAGCGUGGGGAGCGAACAGG
rnacentral:rRNA from 1 species